CCAUCACUGUCACAUUUAUUAAAAUCGGCUCCUGUGUCUAACAACAUCCUUACUAUUUCGGUAUGUCCCUCAAUACAAGCAUGCAUUACAGGUGACAAACCAUCACUUUUACAUUUAUUAUAAUCUGCUCCUAUGUCUAACAACAUCUUUACUAUUUCUGUAUGUCCAUAUCUACAAGCACACAUUACAGGUGACCAACCAUCACUGUCACAUUUAUUAUAGUCUGCUCCAGUGUCUAACAACAUCAUUAAUAUUUCUGUAUUUCCAUCUAUACAAGCAUGCAUUACAGGUGACCAACCAUCACUUUUACAUUUAUUAUAAUCUACUCCUAUGUCUAACAACAUCCUUACUAUUUCUGUAUGUCCAUAUCUACAAGCACACAUUACAGGUGACCAACCAUCAUUGUCACAUUUAUUAUAAUCUGCUCCUGUGUCUAACAACAUCCUUACUAUUUCUGUAUGUCCAUAUCUACAAGCAUGCAUUACCGGCGACCAACCAUUAUUGUCACAUUUAUUAUAAUCUGCGCCUAUGUCUAACAACAUCCUUACUAUUUCUGUAUGUCCCUCAAUACAAGUCAUCAACACAGGUGACAAACCAACACUGUCACAUGUAUUAUAAUUGGUUCCUUUGUCUAACAACAUCUUUACUAUUUCUGUAUGUCCAUAUCUACAAGCACUCAUUACAGGUGACCAACCAUCAUUGUCACAUUUAUUGUAAUCUGCUCCUGUGUCUAACAACAUCCUUACUAUUUUUGUAUGUCCAUAUCUACAAGCAGUCAUUACAGGUGACCAACCUUCACUGUUACAUUUUGUAUAGUCUGCUCCUGUGCCUAACAACAUCCUCACUAUUUCUGUAUGCCCAUUUAUACAAGCAUGC